rnacentral:lncRNA from 1 species
GAUGGCUCCCUGACCUUAGGGAGAUGAAGGGCCUGAAACCCACCUUUUGUGCCAGAAGUGAGGAAAUACACUUCCUUAUCAACAUCUGUCCUCAGGGCCAAAGAACAAGACAGACACUGAAAAGAGAGAGAGCAGGGAGUUCCAACAAGGAGUCCAAAAGAAGACUAUGUGUUUCCCAUCUGAUGCUGGGCACUGAUACAUUCCAACUUAAGAUGUCACACAGCAAAGAAAAAAGAUCAUUAAAGCUCUUCAGAGGCACUGUGCAUGCAGGAGGACAAGAUCCCACCUGGCUGGGCAUGGUGCAGCAAGGAUGAUGCAACAUUCUC